GACGAACGCUGGCGGCGUGCCUAAUACAUGCAAGUAGAACGCUGAAGAGAGGAGCUUGCUCUUCUUGGAUGAGUUGCGAACGGGUGAGUAACGCGUAGGUAACCUGCCUUGUAGCGGGGGAUAACUAUUGGAAACGAUAGCUAAUGCCGCAUAACAAUGGAUGACACAUGUCAUUUAUUUGAAAGGGGCAAUUGCUCCACUACAAGAUGGACCUGCGUUGUAUUAGCUAGUAGGUGAGGUAAUGGCUCACCUAGGCGACGAUACAUAGCCGACCUGAGAGGGUGAUCGGCCACACUGGGACUGAGACACGGCCCAGACUCCUACGGGAGGCAGCAGUAGGGAAUCUUCGGCAAUGGGGGCAACCCUGACCGAGCAACGCCGCGUGAGUGAAGAAGGUUUUCGGAUCGUAAAGUUCUGUUGUAAGUCAAGAACGGGUGUGAGAGUGGAAAGUUCACACUGUGACGGUAGCUUACCAGAAAGGGACGGCUAACUACGUG
rnacentral:rRNA from 1 species